rnacentral:rRNA from 1 species
AUUGAACGCUGGCGGCAGGCCUAACACAUGCAAGUCGAGCGGGGUUUUCGGACCUAGCGGCGGACGGGUGAGUAAUGCGUAGGAAGCUACCCGAUAGAGGGGGAUACCAGUUGGAAACGACUGUUAAUGCCGCAUAAUGUCUACGGACUAAAGUGUGGGACCUUCGGGCCACAUGCCAUCGGAUGUGCCUACGUGGGAUAGCUAGUUGGUGAGGUAAUGGCUCACCAAGGCGACGAUCCCUAGCUGGUUUGAGAGGAUGAUCAGCCACACUGGAACUGAGACACGGCCCAGACUCCUACGGGAGGCAGCAGUGGGGAAUAUUGGACAAUGGGCGCAAGCCUGAUCCAGCCAUGCCGCGUGUGUGAAGAAGGCCUUCGGGUUGUAAAGCACUUUCAGUAAGGAGGAAGCGUUGAGUGUUAAUAGUACUCAGCGUUGACGUUACUUACAGAAGAAGCACCGGCUAACUCUGUGCCAGCAGCCGCAGUAACAC